rnacentral:misc_RNA from 1 species
GGAAGGAUCAUUAAACACUAUUCGAAACUCCAUGUGAGGUCGUCUCGGAUGGCUUCGGCCGACCAGACCCUCGUAUGGUUCUAUCUGUGGUUACUCCGUUUAUACACUGCAUUUACCUGCGGGAAAUCGCUCGGGGCAUCGCGCCUUGGGUGCUGACCGGACUCUUCCUUCGGGGUGGGCUUUCGGUUAGGUUCAUUUACGCUUAAUUUUGGUAUCUGCAGUGCCAAAUUCUAAAUUUCUAUUUGUUGGUCUAUCCAUACUCUGUCUCUUUAGUAUCGUUCCUUGUGUUCGAUCUUCUGAGGCUUUGGUAUCACAAAAUACCUCUACAACUCUCAGCAACGGAUGCCUCGGUUUCAGCAACGAUGAAGAACGCAGCAAACUGCGAUACGUCUUGCGAAUUGCAGAGCUCAGUGAAUCAUCAAAUCUUUGAACGCAAUUGGCACACUCGGGGUUCACCCUUGGGUACGUACUCUUCAGUGUCACUAGCAUUAACUAUCGUCUGGAAAUGGGAGACCAGACGGAACGUGAGUGUUUCCCCUUAGCUCUCUUUGCUCGUAGCCCUCCCUUCUUCGGAAGGACAUGAGGAACGAAUGGAGUUAGCAACAAAAAGGGUAAUCACUUGAAAUUGUGGAGCUUCGAGAUAAGAACGGUCGGACGCUGGGGGGCUUCGGCGCCCUACCGACCAAUCGAAUCGACUCCCCCUCCGGUGAAAAGGUUUAGUGUUGAUCUUUCUAAUCUUCACUUUUGGUUUGGAUUUCGGAGGUUGACUCUGACCUAUUUCCGUGAGGUCCAGUUGGGCAGAAUUAUUUCAAUUCUAUUUCUAUACUUGCGGGCUCACGGAUUCAUAUAGUGUUGGAUGAUACGGAUGAUUUUCAUACUCAAUGCCAGAUUUUGAAGUUAUUAAGUUUAAUCUUCGCUUCAUAACCAGAAGUAGCCAAACUGGGUUAGCUGAAAUUAAUUUUUUAGCACCGACCUUUUUAGCAAUUUGACCUGAAGUGGUGCGGGAUCACCCGCUGAAUUUAAGCAUAUUAUUAAGCGGAGGAAAAGAAACUAACAAGGAUUCCCCUAGUAACGGCGAGUGAAAAGGGAGAAGCUCAAUUUUAAAUCGGUUGCCGUCAGGUAAUCGAGUUGUAAUCUGAAGAUGCACGGUCAGCGUCUGGUCUGGGUAUAACUUCCUUGGAAAGGGAGAUCAGAGAGGGUGAAAAUCCCGUCUUUGACCCGGAAGCCAGCGCGUACGAUCUGCAUUCAUUGAGUCGCGUUGUUUGGGAUCACAACGCAAAGUGGGAGGUAAACUUCUUCUAAAGCUAAAUACUGGCUGAAAUCCGAUAGUUCACAAGUAGCGUGAGCGAAAGGUGAAAAGAACUUUGAAAAGAGAGUUAAAAGUACCUGAAAUUGCUGAGAGGUAAGUGAUGGGUACUAUAUUGUGAGGUUGCUGUGGAAGGUGGACAACGUGAAAGAGGCUGCUCGGUUAAGGAGGUGUCAUCAUCCCUUCCUUGUAGUUUUCGAUUGCGCGGUUACUCGAAUCAGCAGACUCAAUCCCAGGCCAUUCGGUUGCACGGUGAAACCAUGUUGGAAGGUAGGCAUGCUGGGGUUCGCUCCAUCACGCUGUUAUAGCCACAUGAUCCUACGUGCGACCGGGUGUGAACCAGAGCGAGUACUGUUCCAAGCGCUACUUUUCAUGCCGAUGAGCUCGAGGUGGACAGCAAAGCUGUGCUCUUCUUGUUUGUUUGUAUCUGAUUAGCUAGUGUUUUCCGGUACUCCAAAAAACCUUGGGUCAUUGGUAUCCAUUAACCCGUCUUGAAACACGGACCAAGGAGUCUAACAUUCUGCCGAGUCCAAGGGUAGCAAACCUCAAUGGGCGUAGUGAAAGCAACCACGUGGUAGGACCGUGUCCUCGGACACCUAACUACCGACCGAUCUGUCCGCUUGCGGUAGAUUUGAGUCGUAGGCAUGAUGUUGGGACCCGAAAGAUGGUGAUCUAUGCCUGAACAGGGUGAAGCCAGGGGAAACUCUGGUGGAAGCUCGUAGCGAUACUGACGUGCAAAUCGUUCGUCUGAUUUGGGUAUAGGGGCGAAAGACUAAUCGAACCAUCUAGUAGCUGGUUCCCUC